UACAGAGGUCUCAAGCGUUGUUCGGAUUCAUUGGGCGUAAAGGGUGCGUAGGCGGCGCGGUAAGUCGGGUGUGAAAUCUCGGAGCUUAACUUCGAAACUGCAUUCGAUACUGCCGUGCUUGAGGACUGGAGAGGAGACUGGAAUUUACGGUGUAGCGGUGAAAUGCGUAGAUAUCGCUUGGAACGCCAAUGGUGAAAACAGCUCGCUGGGGGUGUGCUGACGCUAAGGCGCGAAAGCGUGGGGAGCGAACAGG
rnacentral:rRNA from 1 species